rnacentral:rRNA from 1 species
UACGUAGGUGACAAGCGUUGUCCGGAUUUACUGGGCGUAAAGAGCGCGCAGGCGGUCGAUCAAGUCGAGUGUGAAAGCCCCCGGCUCAACUGGGGAGGGUCAUUCGAUACUGAUCGACUCGAAGGCAGGAGAGGGUAGUGGAAUUCCCGGUGUAGCGGUGAAAUGCGCAGAUAUCGGGAGGAACACCAGUGGCGAAGGCGGCACUCUGGGCCGGAACUGACGCUGAGGGGCGAAAGCGUGGGUAGCAAACAGG